GUCAGGUACCCCAUGCCUCUGCGGCAGGGGCUUGUUUCGGCAAGUCUGGACUUGACCAGAUUCAGCCAUGAGCCUUUUGUUUCGGCAAGAGGUUAUCGGGCUACGAUAGUCGGGGAGUGUUUGCGUUCCUACCUACGGGUGCGUGCCAGCCUGUAGCUCUAGA
rnacentral:sRNA from 21 species